GGGUCGGUGGUCUAGAGGUAGGAUCCCGCUCUUACGAGGCGGGGGCCCUGGUUCGAAUCCAGGCCGACCCACCA
rnacentral:tRNA from 1 species